UCGGGAAUUUUGGGCAAUGGGCGAAAGCCUGACCCAGCAACGCCGCGUGAAGGAUGAAGUAUUUCGGUAUGUAAACUUCGAAAGAAUAGGAAGAAUAAAUGACGGUACUAUUUAUAAGGUCCGGCUAACUACGUGCCAGCAGCCGCGGUAAUACGUAGGGACCAAGCGUUGUUCGGAUUUACUGGGCGUAAAGGGCGCGUAGGCGGCAAUUCAAGUCAUCUGUGAAAUCUCCGGGCUUAACUCGGAACGGUCAGAUGAUACUGCUUUGCUAGAGUGCAGAAGGGGCAAUCGGAAUUCUUGGUGUAGCGGUGAAAUGCGUAGAUAUCAAGAGGAACACCUGAGGUGAAGACGGGUUGCUGGGCUGACACUGACGCUGAGACGCGAAAGCGUGGGGAGCAAACAGGAUUAGAUACCCCAGUAGUCCCUGAGCGGGCUGGCAAGGCGCAU
rnacentral:rRNA from 1 species